GGGCGAAUAGCUCAGCCGGCAGAGCGCCCGUCUUACAAGCGGGAGGUCACAGGUUCGAACCCUGUUUCGCCCA
rnacentral:tRNA from 1 species